rnacentral:rRNA from 1 species
GCAGUAGCCGCGGUAAUACGAAGGGUGCAAGCGUUAAUCGGAAUUACUGGGCGUAAAGCGUGCGUAGGCGGUGGGUUAAGUCUGCUGUGAAAUCCCCGGGCUCAACCUGGGAAUGGCAGUGGAUACUGGCUCGCUAGAGUGUGUCAGAGGAUGGUGGAAUUCCCGGUGUAGCGGUGAAAUGCGUAGAGAUCGGGAGGAACAUCAGUGGCGAAGGCGGCCAUCUGGGACAACACUGACGCUGAGGCACGAAAGCGUGGGGAGCAAACAGGAUUAGAUACCCCCGUAGUCCCUGUCUCUUAUAA